rnacentral:rRNA from 1 species
UACAGAGGGGGCAAGCGUUGUUCGGAAUUACUGGGCGUAAAGGGCGCGUAGGCGGCCUUCUAAGUCGAACGUGAAAUCCCCGGGCUCAACCCGGGAACUGCGUCCGAUACUGGAAGGCUUGAAUCCGGGAGAGGGAUGCGGAAUUACAGGUGUAGCGGUGAAAUGCGUAGAUAUCUGGAGGAACACCGGUGGCGAAGGCGGCAUCCUGGACCGGCAUUGACGCUGAGGCGCGAAAGCCAGGGGAGCAAACGGG